AUACGUAGGUCCCGAGCGUUGUCCGGAUUUAUUGGGCGUAAAGCGAGCGCAGGCGGUUAGAUAAGUCUGAAGUUAAAGGCUGUGGCUUAACCAUAGUACGCUUUGGAAACUGUUUAACUUGAGUGCAAGAGGGGAGAGUGGAAUUCCAUGUGUAGCGGUGAAAUGCGUAGAUAUAUGGAGGAACACCGGUGGCGAAAGCGGCUCUCUGGCUUGUAACUGACGCUGAGGCUCGAAAGCGUGGGGAGCAAACAGGAUUAGAUACCCUGGUAGUCCACGCCGUAAACGAUGAGUGCUAGGUGUUAGACCCUUUCCGGGGUUUAGUGCCGUAGCUAACGCAUUAAGCACUCCGCCUGGGGAGUACGACCGCAAGGUUGAA
rnacentral:rRNA from 1 species